GAAUAUUUCCAUAUCUACGACGUUACGCGUAUCGACCGGUGCUUAGGGAUCGGUUGGACUGUUAAGGAGGUCACUUCCUGGUAUCCGGGGAAUGGAUGGCGGAUUAGCGAUAGAGGUUCGUUGUUGCGUUGAGUUCCCGGGAAAGCGGGAACUGGACGCGGUUGUUUGGUUUCUCGUCCACCUGUACCUAGGAGGCGAAUAGCCCAGCGGUAGUAAAGGUGGGGCUGGUAGCCUUGGGAAGGCAGGCGUUGUGCUUGUCUCGUUUCCUGUUGCCUGGUUUUCGACGAGAGUGUUCGCAGGUGCCUGUAAAAAGGUGACCUGCCGGUUGAUAGGAGGUGAGACGUCUAUCGAGGCGAAGUCUAGAGGAGUCCUCGGAGUAGGAUCAACCGGGGAGACGGUACUUGUCAGAUCUAUGGGGACCUGGGCAGGAAUCCUAGUUUCGCGGGGGAACUUCCUUUCCCGCGGUAUCGCGCUCUACCUCAUGUGCCAUGCGAGUGGAGUCGCCCUCUCUGCUGACCCACAAAUGCGGCUAGGUUGCGAUGCGCAAUUUCUUGGUUUUUGGUUAAGUUGAUCAAGUUCAUGAUCAUUGCGCGGAGGGGGAGUGAUUUGGUCAGAUCCAGAAGAAUUCGAGUUUGGGAGAUGUCCUCCGCAUUAGCGUUAUGGACAGCAUCAACCCUGGUUCCGAGAGAGAGAUCCGUUGGGAGGUGCUAGUCCAUAACGUCAUCGUUUGGGAUCUGAACUGGUAAGCCAGAUCCCGAUGAAUUGGAUGAAUUGGGAUCCAUGAUCGUUGGUCACAAUUGAUGUGUUAGUUUCGGUGUUGGAAUGAUCUAUUUUCGUCCCACAGACGGCGCCAAAUGUGGGUUCUGAAAUCCACACUAGAGAUUUGUAAUUGAGAUUAUGAGAAAGGAGGGCUAGAUCUUCACAGAAACCUUGAGAGUUAUAUUUCUAAGAACGAAUGGACUUUUUGUAUUGAUAAUGACAAAGCUUUUACAAUGUGAAAGGAGAUUACAAGUGUAAAAGUAUGUGGGUGAAUGUAAGCUUAAUUGAAUGUCCCUUCCAAGUCGUCCUUGCUUCCUUAUAUGGGUCUACGCACGUGGUAGCUCCAUCCGGGAUCUGCGGAGAUCCUCCUGGAUAUUCGGCAGGUCAGUUCCCAGAUAUCAGGUCCGCUCCGCGAAUAUCUCCUCAUCAGUUCCUAGGUUGUUAUUCGCUUAUCUCCCUUCAUCAGGUGACCGGGCUUAUCUGGCCCAAAUACCCAUUCGCGUAUGUGGGCUCAUCAGCUGCGUAGGUCCUUUACUUGAUGGGCUUUUGUGGGCUGGCUUGGUAUUUUCGCAGGUGGAUUCCUGGAGGGGAAUCCAGCUCCAACAGAGAUCCAAGGAUUGAGAGAAACUUCUGGGAUAACAUUGCCCACCAAGUGUUCGACAGAUUUCUCAAGAGAGAUGUCUAGUUUUUUGGUUGGUAUGGCUUCAAAACUUGUGGUGAUGACUUGAUGGAGCUCAUGAUGCUCUAGAUUCUUCAUCGUAGGACAGUUGUCACAUUUUUUUUCAGAGAAAAACUUAGCAAAAAUUUCACGCAUUCACAUAAUUUCUCAGAGAGAAACUUAGCAAAAACUUAAACUAUAGGUCAUAUACAAAGCCCACUAGGCCCAUAUCAUGAUCUAUCAUAUAUAUACCUUGAGCUGAUCAACAAAACGCUGCUGCUGUUCCGCAGGAUCAUUCAACUCGGUGUAGGCAUUACAAAGCUGCAGCCAAACAAAAAUCAUGAUUCUU
rnacentral:sRNA from 1 species